CGACGUGAGUAACCUGCCUUGGAGAGGGGAAUAACACAUCGAAAGAUGUGCUAAUACCGCAUGAAAUGUCUGAAUCGCAUGGUUCCGGACAUCAAAGAUUUAUCGCUCUGAGAUGGACUCGCGUCUGAUUAGCUGGUUGGCGGGGUAACGGCCCACCAAGGCGACGAUCAGUAGCCGGACUGAGAGGUUGGCCGGCCACAUUGGGACUGAGACACGGCCCAGACUCCUACGGAAGGCAGCAG
rnacentral:rRNA from 1 species